GACGAGCCACACAAACGUUAUUCGGAUUUACUGGGCUUAAAGGGUGCGUAGGCGGCGCGGAAAGUUGGGUGUGAAAUCCCUCGGCUUAACCGAGGAACAGCGCCCAAAACUACCGUGCUCGAGGGAGAUAGAGGUGAGCGGAACUUAGGGUGGAGCGGUGAAAUGCGUUGAUAUCCUAAGGAACACCGGUGGCGAAAGCGGCUCACUGGAUCUCUUCUGACGCUGAUGCACGAAAGCUAGGGUAGCGAACGGG
rnacentral:rRNA from 1 species